UCACUGCUUGCGCAGGCAGUCCUAUCAGAGUCCCCGGCUUUACCCGCUGGUAACUGACAGUAAGGGUUGCGCUCGUUGCGGGACUUAACCCAACAUCUCACGACACGAGCUGACGACAGCCAUGCAGCACCUCUACAGCGACCUCCGAAGAGGGAAUCUCAUCUCUGAGACUUUCCACUGCAGUUCAAACCCAGGUAAGGUUCUGCGCGCUGCUUCGAAUUAAACCACAUGCUCCGCUGCUUGUGCGGGUCCCCGUCAAUUCCUUUGAGUUUUAGCCUUGCGGCCGUACUCCCCAGGCGGGGCACUUAAUGCGUUAGCUCCGGCACGGGAGGAGUCGACACCUCCCACACCUAGUGCCCAUCGUUUACGGCGUGGACUAC
rnacentral:misc_RNA from 1 species